rnacentral:lncRNA from 1 species
AUGGGAACUUCCGAAUAUUCUGAACUUGUUCCUGUUACUACUAUGGGAAAAGAUACCACCAAAAAGAUUGAUUAUAACAUUCUACCUGAGGAACUAAUUAUUCCAUCUGAUGAAGUUAUUUUACCUAUUAUAAUUACCUCUGAAAAAGACAUGGCAAGUACUUUUAAAAGGAACAUAUUUGACCACAAAGAUCUUAGAGAGACGACUCCUAAAUAUGAAUCUAUUUAUUUUACAGAAGACGUUGCAGAAAGGGUGGAUGACAUUUCUUCUGCAGGCAAAAUCACUCCAGCAUAUGUAGACUAUAUAAUUAUUAAGUCUGAUGACAGUGGUUCUGAAUAUGUCUCAGAUAAGCAUGCCUUUGAUAUAGAGGAUAGAUCAAAUAAUCCCCCUGCAAAAUGGAGUACAUUCAUAUAUGCCCCCAAGACACAUGUGUCUCAUGCAGCAUAUACCACAGUUGCUGCUUCAGACAGUCUAUCUAAAACAACACCCCCAGAGUUCAACACUAAAGAGAAUUACCAAGCUAUGAUUCCUAGACAGGAAAACAAGAACUUAGACACCAAUUCCAUCGCUCUCAAAGAUUCCAAUGUCAAUGUCAAUACCAAAGCUCAUAGACCCACAACUCACUUCCUAAUUGAUGCAAGUAAGAAUUUUCCUUCUAAUUUUUCUGACAACACAUCUGUGGGAAAAAACACCAUCAGUGAUGAUGGUGACACCAUAGUUCUCUCAGAAGGCUUUGACUCAGAAAAUAAAAUAAUUGAGCAUUUCCUUUUUCCAGACACAAAACCCGUAGUUGACAGCAGGAUAUUCACAACUGAUACUACUAAUCAUGCUUUAAAAAAUAGUGACAAUUUCCUCAGGAAAAACAUAUCACCUGCCUUUUAUAAGACAUCUACACCCAGAAGAGCAGAUACUACCACAUCCAGUAUUUCUGAUUUUACCGAAGAUCAAACAGGUAGAGCUGCAGUAUCUGAUCCAAGGUUCAGCAGCUUUUCUUUAGCUCACCUUUCCAGUGAGGACAUGUCCAAUGUUAAUGAAAACACAGAAGGUGCAAUCAACACAGCUCUUACAUCCUUUAAUCCUUUGAAAAAGAUUUCUGCCAUUAUGCCAUAUGCUCCUGCUAUUGCCACUAAGAACAAAAAUAACAUUGGCCAUUAUAACUUUCCAUCAUCAAAAAGUGUCAUGUCUCUAAGACUUACAUCUAUGGGACUACCUGAAACUCUCAUCCUAACUUCUAAUCUUCCUUCUAAAGAAACUGCAGGCCCCAGACUUGUAAAAGGUCCAAACCUAUCUUACCCAACAGUGUUAAUAUCAGCUGCAUCAGAGCCUGUGUCUGUAGACUCACCUUACUUCAAUGAAGGCAUUGUCUCAGAAAGACAAAAUACUAAAAGCCAAAGAGUCCUAAAGGCUUUCCCCUUGGUUUAUACUGUUCUCCAAGCUGAUUCCACUGGUUCUUCAGACAAUAUGGCCAAAGUCAAGCCUAACACAUCUUCUACUGUUGUCACCAAGAACAAAAUUUUUGAUAAUGAUGCCUCUGGUGAUCAAAAUUCAGAACCCAAGAAAACAACAACAACGUUUUCUAUUCUUUUUCCUAAUGAAUAUAGUAAACCAAGCUUCUACAAGGAAAAUAAUUAA